UUUAUGGAGAGUUUGAUCCUGGCUCAGAGUGAACGCUGGCGGCGUGCCUAAUACAUGCAAGUCGAACGAUGAAGCUUCUAGCUUGCUAGAAUGCUGAUUAGUGGCGCACGGGUGAGUAACGCAUAGGUCAUGUGCCUCUUAGUUUGGGAUAGCCAUUGGAAACGAUGAUUAAUACCAGAUACUCCCUACGGGGGAAAGAUUUAUCGCUAAGAGAUCAGCCUAUGUCCUAUCAGCUUGUUGGUAAGGUAAUGGCUUACCAAGGCUAUGACGGGUAUCCGGCCUGAGAGGGUGAACGGACACACUGGAACUGAGACACGGUCCAGACUCCUACGGGAGGCAGCAGUAGGGAAUAUUGCUCAAUGGGGGAAACCCUGAAGCAGCAACGCCGCGUGGAGGAUGAAGGUUUUAGGAUUGUAAACUCCUUUUGUUAGAGAAGAUAAUGACGGUAUCUAACGAAUAAGCACCGGCUAACUCCGUGCCAGCAGCCGCGGUAAUACGGAGGGUGCAAGCGUUACUCGGAAUCACUGGGCGUAAAGAGCGCGUAGGCGGGAUAGUCAGUCAGGUGUGAAAUCCUAUGGCUUAACCAUAGAACUGCAUUUGAAACUACUAUUCUAGAGUGUGGGAGAGGUAGGUGGAAUUCUUGGUGUAGGGGUAAAAUCCGUAGAGAUCAAGAGGAAUACUCAUUGCGAAGGCGACCUGCUGGAACAUUACUGACGCUGAUUGCGCGAAAGCGUGGGGAGCAAACAGGAUUAGAUACCCUGGUAGUCCACGCCCUAAACGAUGGAUGCUAGUUGUUGGAGGGCUUAGUCUCUCCAGUAAUGCAGCUAACGCAUUAAGCAUCCCGCCUGGGGAGUACGGUCGCAAGAUUAAAACUCAAAGGAAUAGACGGGGACCCGCACAAGCGGUGGAGCAUGUGGUUUAAUUCGAAGAUACACGAAGAACCUUACCUAGGCUUGACAUUGAGAGAAUCCGCUAGAAAUAGUGGAGUGUCUAGCUUGCUAGACCUUGAAAACAGGUGCUGCACGGCUGUCGUCAGCUCGUGUCGUGAGAUGUUGGGUUAAGUCCCGCAACGAGCGCAACCCCCUUUCUUAGUUGCUAACAGGUCAUGCUGAGAACUCUAAGGAUACUGCCUCCGUAAGGAGGAGGAAGGUGGGGACGACGUCAAGUCAUCAUGGCCCUUACGCCUAGGGCUACACACGUGCUACAAUGGGGUGCACAAAGAGAAGCAAUACUGCGAAGUGGAGCCAAUCUUCAAAACACCUCUCAGUUCGGAUUGUAGGCUGCAACUCGCCUGCAUGAAGCUGGAAUCGCUAGUAAUCGCAAAUCAGCCAUGUUGCGGUGAAUACGUUCCCGGGUCUUGUACUCACCGCCCGUCACACCAUGGGAGUUGUGUUUGCCUUAAGUCAGGAUGCUAAAUUGGCUACUGCCCACGGCACACACAGCGACUGGGGUGAAGUCGUAACAAGGUAACCGUAGGUGAACCUGCGGUUGGAUCACCUCCUUU
rnacentral:rRNA from 1 species